rnacentral:piRNA from 1 species
UAUUUCAGCAGAGUUCCCUAUGCUGCAUAUU